rnacentral:rRNA from 1 species
GUGGGGAAUAUUGCACAAUGGGGGAAACCCUGAUGCAGCGACGCCGCGUGAAGGAAGAAGUAUUUCGGUAUGUAAACUUCUAUCAGCAGGGAAGAAAGUGACAGUACCUGACUAAGAAGCCCCGGCUAACUACGUGCCAGCAGCCGCGGUAAUACGUAGGGGGCAAGCGUUAUCCGGAUUUACUGGGUGUAAAGGGAGCGUAGGUGGCGAUGCAAGCCAGAAGUGAAAACCCGGGGCUCAACCCCGAGGACUGCUUUUGGAACUGUGUUGCUGGAGUGCAGGAGAGGUAAGUGGAAUUCCUAGUGUAGCGGUGAAAUGCGUAGAUAUUAGGAGGAACACCGGUGGCGAAGGCGGCUUACUGGACUGUAACUGACACUGAGGCUCGAAAGCGUGGGGAGCAAACAGGAUUAGAAACCCCAGUAGUCC